AAAAAGACAAACUCUGGGUUUUCGUCUCCAACGUUUCACUGUCUGUCUUAUAUGAAAUUUUUUUAUAAUUAGUAUUUUCAUUGUUGUUAGAUGAUAAAACAUGAUUAAUAGUUUAUGUGUGACUUGUCUUUUUAAUUUUUUUCAUAAUUUUUUAAAUAAGACGGAUGGUCAAACGUUGGACACGGAAACCCAGAGUUUAUCUUUUU
rfam:Oryza meridionalis cultivar OR44 (W2112) chromosome 4, whole genome shotgun sequence.